rnacentral:rRNA from 1 species
CAGCCGCCGCGGGAAUACGGAGGGUGCAAGCGUUAAUCGGAAUUACUGGGCGUAAAGCGCACGCAGGCGGUCUGACAAGUCAGAUGUGAAAUCCCCGGGCUUAACCUGGGAACUGCAUUUGAAACUGUCAGGCUGGAGUCUUGUAGAGGGGGGUGGAAUUCCAGGUGUAGCGGUGAAAUGCGUAGAGAUCUGGAGGAAUACCGGUGGCGAAGGCGGCCCCCUGGACAAAGACUGACGCUCAGGUGCGAAAGCGUGGGGAGCAAACAGGAUUAGAUACCCCUGUAGCCCUGUCUCUUAUACC